rnacentral:rRNA from 1 species
CCUACGGGAGGCUGCAGUGAGGAAUAUUGGUCAAUGGACGAGAGUCUGAACCAGCCAAGUAGCGUGAAGGAUGACUGCCCUAUGGGUUGUAAACUUCUUUUAUAUGGGAAUAAAAUGUUCCACGUGUGUGAUGUUGUAUGUACCGUAUGAAUAAGGAUCGGCUAACUCCGUGCCAGCAGCCGCGGUACUACGGAGGAUCCGAGCGUUAUCCGGAUUUAUUGGGUUUAAAGGGGGCGUAGGUGGAUUGUUAAGUUAGUUGUGAAAGUUUGCGGCUCAACCGUAAAAUUGCAGUUGAAACUGGCAGUCUUGAGUACAGUAGAGGUGGGCGGAAUUCGUGGUGUAGCGGUGAAAUGCUUAGAUAGCACGAAGAACUCCGAUUGCGAAGGCAGCUCACUGGACUGCAACUGACACUGAGGCUCGAAAGUGUGGGUAUCAAACAGGAUUAGAUACCCUUGUAGUC